rnacentral:rRNA from 1 species
GACAGAGGCCUCGAGCGUUAGGCGGAAUCACUGGGCUUAAAGCGUGUGUAGGCGGGUCCGUAAGUGUCUUGUGAAAUCCCACGGCUCAACCGUGGAACUGCUGGGCAUACUGCGGGUCUUGGGCCAACUAGGGGCAGCCGGAACAAGCGGUGGAGCGGUGAAAUGCGUAGAUAUCGCCUGGAACGCCGAAGGUGAAAACAGGCUGCUGGGGUUGCGCCGACGCUGAGACACGAAAGCCAGGGGAGCAAACGGG